GAAGCAACGCGAAGAACUUUUCCGGGUCUUGACAUCGUCUGACAACCCUAGAGAUAGGGCUUCCCCUUCGGGGGCAGAGUGACAGGUGGUGCAUGGUUGUCGUCAGCUCGUGUCGUGAGAUGUUGGGUUAAGUCCCGCAACGAGCGCAACCCUUGAUCUUAGUUGCCAUCAUUAAGUUGGGCACUCUAAGGUGACUGCCGGUGACAAACCGGAGGAAGGUGGGGAUGACGUCAAAUCAUCAUGCCCCUUAUGACCUGGGCUACACACGUGCUACAAUGGACGGUACAAAGAGCUGCAAGACCGCGAGGUGGAGCUAAUCUCAUAAAACCGUUCUCAGUUCGGAUUGUAGGCUGCAACUCGCCUACAUGAAGCUGGAAUCGCUAGUAAUCGCGGAUCAGCAUGCCGCGGUGAAUACGUUCCCGGGCCUUGUACACACCGCCCGUCACACCACGAGAGUUUGUAACACCCGAAGUCGGUGGGGUAACCUUUUGGAGCCAGCCGCC
rnacentral:rRNA from 1 species